rnacentral:rRNA from 1 species
GUGGGGAAUAUUGCACAAUGGGGGGAACCCUGAUGCAGCGACGCCGCGUGAGCGAUGAAGGUUUUCGAAUCGUAAAGCUCUGUCCUUGGAGAAGAUAAUGACGGUAUCCAAGGAGGAAGCACCGGCUAAAUACGUGCCAGCAGCCGCGGUAAUACGUAUGGUGCGAGCGUUGUCCGGAAUUAUUGGGCGUAAAGGGUACGUAGGCGGUUUAUCAAGUCAGAUGUUAAAGCGUGGGGCUCAACCCCAUAAAGCAUUUGAAACUGAUAAACUUGAGUAGUGGAGAGGAAAGUGGAAUUCCUAGUGUAGCGGUGAAAUGCGUAGAUAUUAGGAGGAAUACCAGUUGCGAAGGCGACUUUCUGGACACAAACUGACGCUGAGGUACGAAAGCGUGGGGAGCAAACAGGAUUAGAAACCCUGGUAGUCC